UCAGAUAUGAUCCAGCUACGGUGGGGUUC
rnacentral:piRNA from 1 species